rnacentral:rRNA from 1 species
CCCUUAGAUGUUCUGGGCCGCACGCGCGCUACACUGACGAAUGCAACGAGCUUAUAACCUUGGCCGAAAGGUCUGGGUAAUCUCCAAAUUUCGUCGUGAUGGGGAUAGAUUAUUGCAAUUAUUAAUCUUCAACGAGGAAUGCCUAGUAAGCGCAAGUCAUCAGCUUGCGCUGACUACGUCCCUGCCCUUUGUACACACCGCCCGUCGCUACUACCGAUUGAAUGAUUUAGUGAGGACUUCGGACUGGGACCGAUGCGGCUUUCGGGCUGCGUCGGUAUUCUGGAAAGAUGUCCAAACUGUAUCAUUUAGAGGAAGUAAAANUCGUANCA